rnacentral:rRNA from 1 species
GGAUCCAGACUUUGAUUCUGGCUCAGGAUGAACGCUAGCUACAGGCUUAACACAUGCAAGUCGAGGGGCAGCAUGGUCUUAGCUUGCUAAGGCCGAUGGCGACCGGCGCACGGGUGAGUAACACGUAUCCAACCUGCCGUCUACUCUUGGGCAGCCUUCUGAAAGGAAGAUUAAUACAAGAUGGCAUCAUGAGUCCACAUGUUCACAUGAUUAAAGGUAUUCCGGUAGACGAUGGGGAUGCGUUCCAUUAGAUAGUAGGCGGGGUAACGGCCCACCUAGUCUUCGAUGGAUAGGGGUUCUGAGAGGAAGGUCCCCCACAUUGGAACUGAGACACGGUCCAAACUCCUACGGGAGGCAGCAGUGAGGAAUAUUGGUCAAUGGGCGAGAGCCUGAACCAGCCAAGUAGCGUGAAGGAUGACUGCCCUAUGGGUUGUAAACUUCUUUUAUAAAGGAAUAAAGUCGGGUAUGCAUACCCGUUUGCAUGUACUUUAUGAAUAAGGAUCGGCUAACUCCGUGCCAGCAGCCGCGGUAAUACGGAGGAUCCGAGCGUUACCCGGAUUUAUUGGGUUUAAAGGGAGCGUAGAUGGAUGUUUAAGUCAGUUGUGAAAGUUUGCGGCUCAACCGUAAAAUUGCAGUUGAUACUGGAUAUCUUGAGUGCAGUUGAGGCAGGCGGAAUUCGUGGUGUAGCGGUGAAAUGCUUAGAUAUCACGAAGAACUCCGAUUGCGAAGGCAGCCUGCUAAGCUGCAACUGACAUUGAGGCUCGAAAGUGUGGGUAUCAAACAGGAUUAGAUACCCUGGUAGUCCACACGGUAAACGAUGAAUACUCGCUGUUUGCGAUAUACAGCAAGCGGCCAAGCGAAAGCGUUAAGUAUUCCACCUGGGGAGUACGCCGGCAACGGUGCAACUCAAAGGAAUUGACGG